rnacentral:lncRNA from 1 species
CUUGAAAAGCCCAUAAUUCUUGACAGGAGAUGGAAGACAGAUAAAGCAAGAGAUGCAGCCCCAGCCCACUGUCCUCUGAUCCAAGGAGAGUCAUACCAUCUGGGACUGUUUUCCAAAGUCAGAAGGUUAGAAAUAUUCCAACCAGUACCCCUGGGUCAGAGUGACUGAAGAACUCAACUCCCCCAGACACUCUAAAAACCCUCUUGGAAGAUCUUCCCACCACAUGUACACCCCUCUUAACAGCUCUCUGGGAUCUAAGUAUUUGGCCUUUUAACUGUACCGAAAGUGUGAAAGGAAUCUGGGGUCUGGAAGAAUGGAUUAAAGUUGCGCAUGACUACAAAAGUUGGGUACUUAAGCUGUUUGAUAUCCAGUAUGUAAAAUGGAGUCAUGAAGAGUCAGAUACAACUGAAACAACUGAACAACAGUAAUAACAAUGUGGGAAUUUGUUUUGUGUGACUGGAUAUUUAUAAUAUUUUUCUUGCCUUCUCAGUGGAUUGGGGGAGGUGGAGAAGUCAGAAC